rnacentral:rRNA from 1 species
CCAGCAGCCGCGGUAAUACGAGGGGGGUUAGCGUUGUUCGGAAUUACUGGGCGUAAAGCGCACGUAGGCGGACUGGAAAGUUGGGGGUGAAAUCCCGGGGCUCAACCUCGGAACUGCCUCCAAAACUAUCAGUCUAGAGUUCGGGAGAGGUGAGUGGAAUUCCAAGUGUAGAGGUGAAAUUCGUAGAUAUUUGGAGGAACACCAGUGGCGAAGGCGGCUCACUGGCUCGAUACUGACGCUGAGGUGCGAAAGUGUGGGGAGCAAACAGGAUUAGAUACCCUGGUAGUCCACACCGUAAACGAUGAAUGCCAGUCGUCGCCAAGUAUACUUGUCGGUGACACACCUAACGGAUUAAGCAUUCCGCCUGGGGAGUACGGUCGCAAGAUUAAAACUCAAAGGAAUUGACGGGGGCCCGCACAAGCGGUGGACCAUGUGGUUUAAUUCGAAGC